GACGAACGCUGGCGGCGUGCUUAACACAUGCAAGUCGAGCGGAAAGGCCCUUCGGGGUACUCGAGCGGCGAACGGGUGAGUAACACGUGAGUAACCUGCCCCAGACUUUGGGAUAACCCUCGGAAACGGGGGCUAAUACCGGAUACGACACAGCUUCGCAUGGGGUCUGUGUGGAAAGUUUUUCGGUUUGGGAUGGGCUCGCGGCCUAUCAGCUUGUUGGUGGGGUGAUGGCCUACCAAGGCGACGACGGGUAGCCGGCCUGAGAGGGCGACCGGCCACACUGGGACUGAGACACGGCCCAGACUCCUACGGGAGGCAGCAGUGGGGAAUAUUGCACAAUGGGCGGAAGCCUGAUGCAGCGCCGCCGCGUGAGGGAUGACGGCCUUCGGGUUGUAAACCUCUUUCAGCAGGGACGAAGCGUAAGUGACGGUACCUGCAGAAGAAGCGCCGGCCAACUACGUG
rnacentral:rRNA from 1 species